CGCGGGAUUGGGACGGGGGGCAGCAGGCGCGAAAACUUUACCAUGCGGGCAACCGUGAUAAGGAAACCCCGAGUGCCAGCAACGGCUGGCUGUCCGCCAGUGUACAUAACUGGUGAAGAAAGGGCCGGGCAAGACCGGUGCCAGCCGCCGCGGUAAUACCGGCGGCUCGAGUGGUGGCCGCUAUUACUGGGCUUAAAGGGUCCGUAGCUGGAUGUACAAGUCCCUUGAGAAAUCCGCGGGCUUAACCUGCGGGCGUUCAGGGGAAACUGUAUUUCUAGGGACCGGGAGAGGUGAGAGGUACUGCCGGGGUAGGAGUGAAAUCCUGUAAUCCCGGUGGGACCACCUAUGGCGAAGGCAUCUCACCAGAACGGGUCCGACAGUGAGGGACGAAAGCUGGGGGAGCAAACCGGAUUAGAUACCCGGGUAGUCCCAGCUGUAAACGAUGCGCGUUAGGUGUGUCAGUGACCACGUGUCACUGAGGUGCCGAAGGGAAACCGUGAAACGCGCCGCCUGGGGAGUACGGUCGCAAGGCUGAAACUUAAAGGAAUUGGCGGGGGAGCACCACAACGGGUGGAGCCUGCGGUUUAAUCGGACUCAACGCCGGGAAUCUCACCGGAUAAGACAGCUGUAUGAUAGUCGGGAUGAAGACUCUACUUGACUAGCUGAGAGGAGGUGCAUGGCCGUCGUCAGUUCGUACUGUGAAGCAUCCUGUUUAGUCAGGCAGCGAGCGAGACCCACGCGAGCAGUUGCCAGCUUGACCUUCGGGUUGAUGGGGACACUGCUCGGACCGCCUCUGCUAAAGGGGAGGAAGGAAUGGGCAACGGUAGGUCAGCAUGCCCCGAAUUAUCCGGGCUACACGCGGGCUACAAUGGUCAGGACAAUGGGUUUCUACACCGAGAGGUGAUGACAAUCUCCUAAACCUGUCCGAAGUUCGGAUUGCGGGUUGUAACUCACCCGCAUGAAGCUGGAAUCCGUAGUAAUCGCGUUUCAACAUAGCGCGGUGAAUAUGUCCCUGCUCCUUGCACGAAUUCGCCUAAUCACUAGU
rnacentral:rRNA from 1 species